GAUGAACGCUGGCGGCGUGCCUAAUACAUGCAAGUCGAGCGAACGGACGAGAAGCUUGCUUCUCUGAUGUUAGCGGCGGACGGGUGAGUAACACGUGGAUAACCUACCUAUAAGACUGGGAUAACUUCGGGAAACCGUAGCUAAUACCGGAUAAUAUUUUGAACCGCAUGGUUCAAAAGUGAAAGACGGUCUUGCUGUCACUUAUAGAUGGAUCCGCGCUGCAUUAGCUAGUUGGUAAGGUAACGGCUUACCAAGGCAACGAUGCAUAGCCGACCUGAGAGGGUGAUCGGCCACCCUGGAACUGAGACACGGUCCAGACUCCUACGGGAGGCAGCAGUAGGGAAUCUUACGCAAUGGGCGAAAGCCUGACGGAGCAACGCCGCGUGAGUGAUGAAGGUCUUCGGAUCGUAAAACUCUGUUAUUAGGGAAGAACAUAUGUGUAAGUAACUGUGCACAUCUUGACGGUACCUAAUCAGAAAGCCACGGCUAACUACGUG
rnacentral:rRNA from 1 species